rnacentral:lncRNA from 1 species
AUGGGAAAAUAUAGGUGAGAGCAAAGUUCAAAAAUCUAUUAUAAUAGACAAAACCAAGUAGUAGUCCCUAUUAAUGAUAAAAAUUUUAUGGUCAAAAGAUACCAGAAACAAUUAACAUAUGAAAAAAAUUCAAUCUAUUCCACUUACUUUUGAGGAGCUGUAUAUGUCUUUAAGAAUAUAUCCACAGGCAUCUUUAAAGAAUAUAUUUCCUCUGAAAGUGAAUGUGGAAAAUUUGAAAAGAAAUCUGGUCCAUGCAUCAGCUUUUAACUUGGCCAAUUAUAAAUGUAGCACUGAGUUAAAUAUGUUCUCUGUGCAAAUAUUUGAUGGGAAGUUUAAGAAAAAUUUCCAAAAGGGAUACUUUUGAGAGUUUCUCUACAAAAUGUCCAUUUUUCUGUAACAAAACACUAAUUUCUCCUUUUGCCCAAAUGGAAAACAAUAAAAAUUGUAGAAAGGUUUUUACUCCCCUAAUGUUGCUCAAUGGCAAUUCUUAUACAGAUUUGCAUAAUGUGCACUAUAUAAAUAAUGGUAUAAGUAACACCAUUAGCCAUGUCUGUACUCUGAGUAAUUACCAGUAUUUUUACAUUGGUGAUAAAAAUUAUGAAUAUAGAGAAACACCUAGUCAUUUUCUAAAGGAAAUUUACCAAGAUGAAAAAUGUGGGAAAGUCUUGCUUCAAUGCUCAGCAACUAUUACUAAUCAAAUUUCAUAGUCAAGGCAAAACUUGCAAGUGUAAGGUAUAUGAAAGGUCUCCUAAUCACAUGGCAGAGCUUGCUCAAUACAAGAGAAUUUAUAAAGAAAGAGAACCCUAUAAGUUUAGAAGAUGUUGAGCAAGUCGAUAUUUUGAUAUAUGCUUUAAACAAAGCAGAUACUAUGAUAGUGAUAAACCCUAUAAAUUUAAGGAAUGCAGAAAAACUUUUAGUGAAAGGUUACAACUUGUUAAGCAUCACAGUAUUUACACUGAAGAAACUACCUGUAAAUGAAAAAAGUGUGGCAAAGCCUUAAAAUAAUUGUUCAACUCUUACUCAACACCAAAACUUUAUUCUGCAGAGAAGACCUACCAAUGUGAAUAAUGCAACACAUUCAAGAACUUUACUCAACAUCACAGGGUUCACACAGAAGAUGUGGCAUACAAAGAAUGUGAACAAACUUCUAAUAAAAGUUCCAAUCUUAUUUUUUACCAGGGGACACACACUGGAAAGAUGACCCACAUAUUUAAACAAUUUUGCAAAGCUUUUAGUAAAAAACCAAGCCUUAAAAAUCGCCAGAGAAUUCAUACUGGAGAGAAGCCCUACAAAUGUAAAGUGUGUGACAAAAGUUUUAAUAGAAACUCAAAUCUUAAUCACCACAACAGGAUUCAUACUGGAGAGAAGCCCUACAAAUGUAAAGUGUGUGGCAAGAGUUUGAGUAAAAAAUCAUUACUUACAUGGCACCAGAGAAUCCAUACUGGAGAGAAGCCCUACAAAAGUAAAAUAUGUGGCAAGAGUUUUGAAAGAAACUCAAAUAUUGAUUGCCACAACAGGAUUGAUACUGGAGAGAAGCCCUACAAAUGUCAAGUGUGUGACAAGAGUUUUAAUAUUAAAUCAUCACUUACUCAGAACCAGCGAAUCCACACUGGAGAGAAGCCCUACAACUGUAAAGAAUGUGGCAAAGCUUUUAAUUGCAUCUCACAACUUAAGUGUCAUAAAAGGAUUCAUACUGUAGAGAAGCCCUACAAAUGUAGAGAAUGUGGCAAAGCUUUUAGUAGCAUCUCAAAUAUUCAUCGCCACAACAGGAUCCAUACUGGAUAGAAGCCCUACAGAUGUAAAGAUUGUGGCAAAGCUUUUAAUACAAAAUCAUCACUUACUCGACACCAGAGAACCCAUACUAGAGAAAAAUCCUAUAAAUGUGAAGAAUGGCAAACUUUUUAAAAUUGAAGAUCACAUCUUACUAAACAUUACAGAUUUUAUACUGGAGAGAAGGUUUACUAGGGAAAACAUUGCAUCAGUGUCUUUAAGGAUGAAUCAUCCCUUAUUUCACACCAGAGAUAUGAUAGCAAAGAAAUUAUACAAGUGUAAUAUAGGUGUCAGAGUCUCCAACAGUUGUUCACACCCUACUCAGCAUCUCAGAAUUCAUAUGAGUGAGAGGACAUGUGGAAAAAUUUUUGCAAAGCUUUUGGCCAUUUAUCAAACAUUUUUAAAACACUGGAGGACUUAUAGCAUAUAGAAACCCAAAGAAUGUGUCCAAGACUGUAUUCAAAUUUCAGACAUUUUUCAAUUUCUGACCUCAUACAUGUAGCUAAUGUGGAAUAGCAUUUUCCAAAGUAUGUACCUUAGAUAACAGCAAAAUAUUUACAAAAACAUUUUGAGAAAUAUAAAAAUUGUAAGCUUCUUAUGUAUAGCCCAUUCCUUGAAGUAUUUUGGACCUUAGAGGGAAAAAUCAUUUAAAUGUAGAAAAUGGGUAAUUGCUUUUGACAUUUGCUGAAAAUUUUCUUAACACCUUCAGCUGAUAUUGUAGAAAUGAGGAAAUACUAAUAUAGAAGAAUGCAUCCCUAAAAGGAUAUAACUUUAGUAUAAAUCAACAUUUACUAAAUAUUCUCAUUUUUCACAACUGGAGAAAACAUAAUUCUCAUAGUUGAUUAUUUAAGAAAUGUCUUAAGAUUUAUAUGAAAUUAAAAAUUUUUAUUUUUUAUUUUAUUUUUUUUCAAUUUUUUUAAAGAGAGAGAGAGCACGAGAGAGCACGUGAGAGAAUUUUUUUAAUAUUUAUUUUUCAGUUUUCGGCAGACUCAACAUCUUUGUUUGUAUGUGGUGCUGAGGAUCGAACCCAGGCCGCACGCAUGCCAGGCGAGCGCGCUACCACUUGAGCCACAUCCCCAGCCCCUAGUUUUUAUUUUUUUACUAAACUUAGGGUCACUUAAUCAGUAAACCACCUCCCCAGAUUUGUUUUUCAUUUUUACUUAAAGAUAGGGUUUGCUAACUUAUUUAGGGCCUUACUAAGUUAUGGAGCCUAGCUUUGAACAUGCAAAACGCCUUCUGUAGCUUCUUAAGUCCCUAGGGUCACAGGCAUGGAACACCAUGCCUGUUUUACAUAGCAUUUUUAUACAUAUUUGCAUUACGUCUGCAAUUUGUUACUAAAUAAAAAGUGGGAAUUUCUUAAUGUUAACCUUGUCAUGCAUUUAAUGACGUUAUAAGGUCACAUACUUCCUACUAUUCACUUUGCUAAUGGAGCGAUGCAAUAGUAAAACAUUCUAUUGGGUAAAUAAUGCUAUAACAUCUCCAUUAAUUAUUUCAUGUUUAAUCUAGUUUUAUUUGGGGAAUAUUAUUUAUGUAAAUUAUUUUCGUAAUUAUGGAAAAUUUCAGACAGUUAUAGGAAGGACCUAGGGAUAUUAAAAUAAUGCCCAGACAUCCCUAGUUUGAAUUAUGACAUUAACAUUUCUCUUUUUUUUUUUAGAGAGAGAGAGAGAGAGAGAGAGAGAGAGAUUGAUUGAUUUAAUUUUCGGCAGACACAACAUCUUUGUUGGUAUGUGGUGCUGAGGAUCGAACCCGGGCUGCACACAUGCCAGGCGAGUGCGCUACCGCUUGAGCCACAUCCCCAGCCCAACAUUUCUCUUUGUACAGUUGCAGUACUCCCAAAGGGAUCUUCAACUCUGGAGAGUUGUACAAGCUCCCAAUCAGGGAAAGGAGAAAGACCCAAGAGACUGGGAGCCAACAUGCGUAUUCAGAUAAAAAAGGAGGUUUACUGAAGGAGGAAAUAGUCUCAGUGUUUCCUGGAGAAACCACGUGGUCUACAGGCCCAUCCUGACUCUUGGACUGAAGAAACCAUGCAGUUCCUCAUGAAUUCCAUGACGUUCAUCACUGAGGAGACUAGACUGGCCUCAAGUGUAGGAAAAACAUCCCAAUAUAGGACCACCUCUUUAGUCUUGGAAACCCAGUAGAAAAGUGUAACCAGAAACAUGUAAAAUGGUGACUGUAAAAAGAAAAAUACACACUAUAGGAGCAUUUAUGUCCUCACAUUUUUUAUUUCAUUAUAUAUUUUGAUUUUGUAGACAUUUUUCAUUCUACUUAAUAACUUACAAUGUAAUGAUUGUUAUACUUAUUGGAUUAUAUGAUAGAUAGCAUGUGUCAUGGUCUUCCAGAACCCUCUGCAACCCAGUAAUUAUAAGAUAGUAUAAACUAAACCUGUCCCUCUUCAGAUCUUACAGCUCCAGGAGUCCAUGACACUACAGAGAGAGAAACAAAAUUUUGAUUGAAAUAAACCUCUAGAUUCUCAUCCACAUGCCCUGAUUAAAAAGUAAAAUCACAAUAUUCUCUUCAUAUGUGAGCCUUUUGGGUCAAAAAAAUACCACCCACAAACAUUUCAUUUAAUUUUAUUUGGGAAAAUUAAUAUUGAAAUAUAAUGAUAAAUUCUAGGAGAAUAAUAUUCACAGCAUUGUUUAUUCCAAAGGGUAAAUCUCUAGGUUUCAUGCUUAUCUCCACAUUAUUUUAUGUAUAAAACAGGCUUCAUUUUACAUAUCACAGUUUUAAUUAUUUAUAAGGCCCAGAGGAAAGAUUCAGUACUAGAGGUCUAAGGAAAAUAAAAAAGCUCUUUCCUUUUCAUGUGACUGCAUGAUGUCUGCAUAUGCUUGAUGAAACAGCUAAAGAAUGCUGAUUUCUCAAUGCAUCUGGCUCCAUUGCUCACUCAUUGGAACCCCAAUUUAUUGAGUCAUCUCAAGGCUAUCACUGCCUCCUCUAGGAUCUGACCUGUUCUUGGGAGGAUGUAGUGUUCUUCAUGGGAUCACUAGGUCAUACAAGUUGUUAGAAUGAAGCUUUCUUUGUUCUAAAUUGUGUUUAUUCAGCCUCACUUUCAAUAAAAUUUAGAACAAGAAGUCACACUCUCACCUGUGGCGAGAAUAGUCUGCCCAGGACUUGCCAGUCAGGACCCUGAAAAGCUGUUUGGGACUCACUAGUACAUAGGUUCAGUGUUGGGGUUUUCCUAGUCUGGCAAUACAGUUGCCUGUGUCUGUUACUUUGGCUUUCUCUCUUGCUUUCAUAGUAUUACUCAAAGAAACACUGUCUUGUGUGAAGAAAGUGUCUUCCUUAUCUAUUGGACCUGACCUGCCAAGUUGAGCAGCUGCCCACAUGCUUAAUGUCACAAACACAUGUAUAUGUUAUCUAAUCAGGAACUAGUGUAUCUUUCAACUGCAUGAUUUUUUAUUUCAUGGGGGAGGAAAUUGUGAAUGCUUUCUUUGAGUGCACACGGCACUAUUGAUAGUAUUCAUAACACUGCUAUGUAAUGUUUCCUCUCUGCUCUACUUGUAAGUAUUUCUCUUGUGCUGUUUUGUAAAACAAAUAGAAAAGAGUUGUAAACCAAAAAUUUUGUGAUAAUUGAUAAUUGCACAGACUGGCUUGGGCAACUCUAUUUACCAUUGUUUAUUAUUUUGUAUGGGCUUAAGGUACUCUUUUAUACUUUUAUUUAACCUUAAUGACAUUAGAAUUUAUUGAGGAGAUUUUCACUCACAAAACCUUCUCUCUAUACAAAUGUGUCCUUAUCAUUUUUAAAAUUUUGUACUCUUUUUAGGUAUGCAUGACAGUAGAGCAAAUUUUGACAUAUUAUUCAUGGAGUAAAACUUAUUUUAGUUAGCAUUCCCUUCUUGAGGUGUACAUGGUGUGGACCUUCACUGGUUGUGUAUUUAUAUAUGAACAUAGAAAAGCUGUGUUUGAUCCAUUCUACUCUCAUCUGUAUUCCCAUUUCCCUUUUCUUCCCUUCAUUCCAACUUUGUCUAAUCCACUCAAUUUCUAUUGUCUCCUUCUCCCUUGUUGAGGGGUUUAGCAUCCAUAUAUAUUAUAUAUUAUAUGUAAUGUCUGUUUCAUUCUACUAUCCUUCCUAUCCCAUAUCCCCUCCCUGCACUCCUCUCUACUUAAUCUAAAUUAACUAUUCUUCUCCACCCCGCAUUGUGAAAUUAGCACCCACUUAUCAGAGAAAAUAUUUGGCUUUUGUGUUGGUGUGUGUGUGUGUGUGUGUGUGUGUGUAUUGGCUUAUUUCACUUAGUAUGAUAUUUUCCAACUCCAUCCAUUUACCACCAAAUUCCAUAGUUUCAUUCAUCUCUAAAGCUAAGUAAUAUUCCAUUGUUGGGGGGAUAUAUAUUUAACACAUUUUAUUUAUCCAUUCAUCUGUUGAAGGACACCUAGGUUGGAUUCAUCUAUUGAAGGACACCUAGGUUGGUUCUAUGGUUUAGCUGUUGUGAAUUGUGGUGCUGAAAACAUUGGUGGGGCUGCAUCCCUGUAGUAUGCUGUUUUCAAGUCCUUUGGGAAUAGUCCAGGGAGAGGGAUAUCUGGGUCAAAUGAUGGUUCCAUGCUGGUUUUGCAAGGAGCCUCCAUACUGCUUUCCAUGGUGGUUGCACAAAUUUGCAGUCAGUCCCAUGAGCAAUGUGUGAGGGUUCGUUUCCCCCCACAUUCUCACCAACAUUUAUUGUUGCCUGUAUUAUUGAUGAUUGCCAUUCUGCCUGAAGUGAGAUAAAAUAUUAAAUUUUGAUUUACAUUUUCCUAAUUGCUAGAUGUGUUGAAUAUUUUUUCAUGUAUUUGGUAAUGGAUUAUAUUUUUUCUGUGAAGUGUCUGUUCAGUUACAUUGCCCAUUUGUUAAUUGGGUUUAUUGUUAAGUUUUGAGUUCUUUGUAUACCCUAGAGAUUAAUUCUUUAUCUGAGGUACUUGUGGUAAAGGCUUUUUACAAAUCUGUAGGUUCUCUCUUCACAUUAUAGUUUCUUUUGCUGAGAAGCAGCUUUUUAGGUUGAAUCUGUCUCAUUUAUUGAUUCUUGAUUUUUAAUUCUUGUGCUGUAAGGGUCUUGUUAUGGAAGUCAGAUUCUGGAUGAACAUUCACCAGAUUUUUAAAUGGCAUCUGAAGUUCAUGAAUAUUUCACUUUUAUUGUUUCUCUUACCAUCUUGCCUUAUAGAGGUAUAUGUUCUAAAGAGCCAUGAAAUGAUCUAACUUCACAUGCAUGAUUUUCUGAUGACUGUUAUUUUUCAAUAUGUAGCUGCAGAUUAUUUAAAAUAUAUAUCUACUAUUUCAGACACUUUAAUUAAAGCACAUGCAUGCCUUGUGUAGGAAAUAUUCCAUCCAUAGAUCAACAUCAAAUCUAUAAUAUAUAUAAAAGCCUUGAUUCAAAUGCAUGCAUAUCCACUUCAGAGCUUUUCCUAUCACACUUAUCCUAUGCUAGUUCCACAUUUUAGGCCCCCCGUGAAAGAAUGACACAGAAAUUCUUUUUUGGGGUGGGGGAUGAUGAAGAUGGAACUCAGGGACACUCAACCACUGAGCCACAUCCCUAGCCAUAUUUUAUGUAGAGACAGGAUCUCACUGAGCUGCCUAGUAAAACUUUCAGUGAGGCUGGCUCUGAGUGCUCUACUGCUGAGCUACAGCCACAGCCCCAGAGAUUUUAAUUUGUUGUUGUUGUUGUUGUUGUUGUCGAGAUUAUGCUAUGAACUUUGAAAUACUUUGUUCAUAU